rfam:Fungal sp. No.14919 DNA, contig: Contig0003.
GCACGUGUGACGCAGUGGUUAGCGUGUUGCUCUUAUACUUGCUAUACGAAGUGUAGCUCGUUAUGAUAAGGUAUGCAAAAGUCGUGAGUUCGACCCUCACCUCGUGCA